ACGGAAGGCAGCAGUGGGGAAUAUUGCACAAUGGGGGAAACCCUGAUGCAGCGACGCCGCGUGAGUGAAGAAGUUAUUCGUAAUGUAAAGCUCUAUCAGCAGGGAAGAAAAUGACGGUACCUGACUAAGAAGCCCCGGCUAACUACGUGCCAGCAGCCGCGGUAAUACGUAGGGGGCAAGCGUUAUCCGGAUUUACUGGGUGUAAAGGGAGCGUAGACGGUCUAGCAAGUCUGAUGUGAAAGGCAGGGGCUCAACUCCUGGACUGCAUUGGAAACUGUUAGUCUUGAGUGUCGGAGAGGUAAGCGGAAUUCCUAGUGUAGCGGUGAAAUGCGUAGAUAUUAGGAGGAACACCAGUGGCGAAGGCGGCUUACUGGACGAUAACUGACGUUGAGGCUCGAAAGCGUGGGGAGCAAACAGAAUUAGAUACCCUGGUA
rnacentral:rRNA from 1 species